UUAAAACAAAGCCAGUUUUAAACAACGUUGAGUGUAAUUUCUUUCUGCUCUUCGUUACCUGUCUACUGGUACAUUUUCUUUCAGAUUUAUCUAUCGGGGUUUUGCAUAAAGUUUGAAUCUUUGUUUCUGGGGUCAGCCUGAGUGUACGUGAACUGCAUAAAGUUUGAAGCUUUCUUGCUUAAGUUUAAAGUUCGAAGCUUUGUUUCUGAGAAAUUCAUGCCAGUCGAAAUCUAUGCCAGUUUUAAACAACGUUGAGUGUAAUUUCAUGGCAGUCAAAAUCUACUGGUACACUUUUUAAUCAGAUUUGUCACGUAUCUGGGUUUUGCAUAAAGUUCGAGUCUUUGUUUCUGGAAUUCACCUGUGUGUUUGAUUCUGAGAAAUCCAUCGGCAGUUAAAAGCUUACAGCCCCAGCUCUAAGAUUUGGUUGACUCUUUAUUUUGUAACUUGCUGCACUUUGACUGUUCUUAAUGAAAUUGAAAUUAUAUUUAACAAUGGUGGUUAGAGGAGAAGGUGAAUCCUUCGCUACUUUGAUUGACCAAAAUGUAUGAUUAGAUGAAUCAUGGAAUUGGAGUUGACAGAAAUCUGCAGCAUUUUUUGAAGUUUGACUUCUGAGUAGUUGCAGAAUGAGGUAAAGAGAUGUUUCUGAACAUGAUUGACAUUUGAGAAUCGUCUACUAUGUAAAAUGAAGCUGAUUAGCCAGGUUGGAACAGACUAAUUCUGAAUAACCAAAACCCGUAGUUGAUCUAGAUCAUCGUCAAGAGUGCCAUGUAAACUGUAAAUGAUUCAAUUGAAUAUAUGAACAGUGAUGAACAACCUGAUGGAUUACAUAUUCUAAAACUUGCUUUAUCAGUUGCACUGUUGAUCAGAGUCUGAAGCUGAGAAAUCAAACAAUGGCUAUGGAGUUUGAUAAGGAUUGUUUACUGAGAAGCACACUCAACUGGGUCUUCAACAAAGUUUGUAUAUUUUAUCUCAAGAUUCAGAACCAGAUAGAUUGAACAGUGGUUCUGGUUGAUGAAACUAGUGGCAGAUACAGGGGACUCUGUUUCUCGCUCUGUUUCUCGGAAAUCCUUUAUUGGAUCAUGGAUAUUCACAAUUUUGUCUAUCGAAAUCAAUGCAUUGAAUCAUUCUAAUUUGCGUAACAAAUAUGAUCCAUUAUUCAAUAUCAUCAAUGAGUAAUUACAGAUUAUAAAUUACAAGUUAUUUUUCCUGAGAAAGUUAGUUUAUUCUCAGAGAACAAACCAAUCGUGUAAUU
rnacentral:lncRNA from 1 species